CAAGCAUACAGAUAACGUUGUAGCUUUCCCCCAGGAGUAUUAUAGAGUAUCGUAUCCACUGGGAAAUGUAAGGGGUAGAGAGGACUUCUAUGGCUAAAAAUCUAAAGCUAGAACUAUCCUAACUGCUUACUUCGGGUUAUCGGCUUCUUCCUGGAUAAAACUAGGCUUCUCCAGUGAUACGGCUUCUGCGCUAUACCCGAACAUCAUGGAUUACGGAGGAUGGACAAGGCUGUGAACACCUGCCACCUACCUCUACAAAUGAGGAGCUGACGGACGAAGCUGCACUCACCCGGGUCAGGCGGGUGCUACUGGAUGUGGACGCGGUCCCCUACGUCCUGCAGCUGUUUUCUUCACAAAAUCCUCCGAAGCCGGGGCACACAGAGUUGUACCGGAGUUACCCACCACAACCCGACAUCCCUCGGCCGGACCACCUCCUCCCCAGCACCGCAGCCGAAGCCAAGAGGGUUCAAGUAGACGAGGCACUGCCCGGCAGCGAGUCCACCGAUGGAGGAAGCCCCCUGGCGGAAAGGGAAACCGGGGGGAGGCGAGAAGGGGCGACUUGUA